rnacentral:rRNA from 1 species
AACGAACGCUGGCGGCAUGCCUAACACAUGCAAGUCGAACGAGACCUUCGGGUCUAGUGGCGCACGGGUGCGUAACGCGUGGGAACCUGCCCUUAGGUUCGGAAUAACUCCCCGAAAGGGGUGCUAAUACCGGAUAAUGUCUUCGGACCAAAGAUUUAUCGCCUUUGGAUGGGCCCGCGUUGGAUUAGCGAGUUGGUAGGGUAAAAGCCUACCAAGGCGACGAUCCAUAGCUGGUCUGGGAGGAUGAUCAGCCACACUGGGACUGAGACACGGCCCAGACUCCUACGGGAGGCAGCAGUGGGGAAUAUUGGACAAUGGGCGAAAGCCUGAUCCAGCAAUGCCGCGGGAGUGAUGAAGGCCUUAGGGUUGUAAAGCUCUUUUACCCGGGAUGAUAAUGACAGUACCGGGAGAAUAAGCUCCGGCUAACUCCGUG